rnacentral:tRNA from 1 species
GUCCUGGGUAGCCUAGUGGACAUGGCAUCUGCCCGGUAAGCGGAACAUUGUGGGUUCGAUUCCCAUCCCUGGACA